GUAGGUGAACCUGCGGAAGGAUCAUUGUCGAAACCUGCCCCUAAAGCAGAACGACCCGCGAACACGUUAUCGUCCCAUUCUUUAAGUCCGUCCCCGAACCAACUCGUUUGCUCGGUGGACGGCGCCUAACGAACCCCGGCGCGAACCGCGCCAAGGAAUACUUGAGCAAAAGUCGGAAUUGAGGGAUUGAGAGUUUUGAGGAGUGGCUUCGCUUCUUCCUUUUGCUUCCUUCCUCCCUUCCUUCCGAGUGUAAAACACAAAACGACUCUCGACAACGGAUAUCUCGGCUCUCGCAUCGAUGAAGAACGUAGCAAAAUGCGAUACUUGGUGUGAAUUGCAGAAUCUCGUGAACCAUCGAGUCUUUGAACGCAAGUUGCGCCCGAAGCCUUUAGGCCGAGGGCACGUCUGCCUGGGCGUCACGCAUCGCGUCGCACCCCCCCCCCCAAAUCGUGCAUGCGAAUGCUCGUUUUCUGAUGGGGGAGCGUAUAUUGGCCUCCCGUGCCCCUAGCGGGCGCGGCUGGCUCAAAACGGAGUCCACGAAGCAGGACGCACGACAAGUGGUGGUUUGAUUUACCUCAACUCUCGUCGCGUCGUGCGCAUGUCCCGCGUCGCUGCCGUCUCGAAAUGACCCUAACGGUGCCCAUCGGUUUCGUUCGAGAGGACGAAUUGAUCGGCGCUUCGACCGCGACCCCAGGUCAGGCGGGACUACCCGCUGAG
rnacentral:sRNA from 1 species